CAUUAAGAAGCUUUUAUAGUAUUAGCCUUUUAAGCUAAAGACAGAGACAAGUCUCCUUAAUGA
rnacentral:tRNA from 1 species